UAUUUCACACAACAAACUUUUAGUGGAAACGUUUUAACUUAUAUGAUUAAAAAAAAAAAACCGGCAAAGUGGCAAGGCUUACCAACCCUGCGUUGGGGUGGCACAGUGACUCAUUUGGGGGGGCAUGGCCCGCGAAUGACCCCCCAUGACGCCGACCCUGGUCCCCAUGCACCUGCAUGAA